UCCUGUAUACUGAUGUAUAAAUAGGUCUAUGUUUUUCUUUGGACAUCUUCACUUGAGCAAUACCCUGGUUACUUCUUUAGUCUUGUACAAUUCACUGUAAUACGUCAUGGUAAAAAUAAAAGAGAGAAGAAACUAGAAGCUAUGCUAGUAGAGACUGCUAUCUUUCCCCAAAAGCUAUCUCAUAAGCUGUUGGAGAAAUUUUUGUAAUCCUUGAGAUUGCUCUAAAAGGAACCUCUCGUAGUCCAAAGGGACUGAAAAUAG
rnacentral:lncRNA from 1 species